rnacentral:lncRNA from 10 species
GCAAACCAGUCCUUUCCAGAGAUUAGCAGCAGUCAAAGAGCAGAGGCUCCCUGGAAGGAAUGCUUAGAACAUGAGAACAGACCUGGAAGCUGGGAGUGAAGCAAGUGGACACAUUUCAGUAACUGGGAACCUAAACUGAGCCUUGAAUAUCCCCAAGGGGUGACACUAAACCAAGAAGCUCAGAGCAGCGAAGCCAUAUGGAGAGUUGGAGUGAACAAAGAGACCCUUUGUGAAACUUCCCACCUCCUUAUUGAACAGAAGGCAAAUGACCAGGUUUCCAAA